GGGCAUCCGCGAGCCAGCCGGCGGUUAGGACGCGCGGUUCGCGGUGGCCUUCCCUGAGGCCGAUCCGGGUGGUGAAGUUCUCACGAGACGAAUACCUUCCUACUUUGUAUAUCCUCUAACUUCCAAAACCAGGCGUCGUUUUUUUAAUCGAAAAGACAAAAUUAGCAGCCUGUAAACGGUCAAUUUGAGGGUCCGCACCUGGAGACGGAGGCAAAGCCCUUGCUCUGUUUGAAGGAUAGUUUCGUCUGUUUGCCACACUUCCUCUCCCUCCUCUCCUCUUUUUUCACCACCUUCCUCUGUUUCCUUCUCCUUGAAGGCGAUGAGAGCUGCAGGACUGAAUACCUUAACUGCUGGGCCUUCUAUCAGAAAACUGAGCCAAAAAUGGUGGAUUUGGACAAACCCCCUGCUCAGUGCAGCACCUGUUUUCUCUAUUUAUAUUACUGAAAGGCUUCAGUAAAAUAUUAUGAAAAAUAAGAUGCCACCUGGGGACAACACUGCCUAGGCAGCGCCAGGUUUCAUUUAUAAAUGUGCUAGAUUGCUUUUCUCCCAUCAGCCCAGUCUUGAUUUGAAAUUCAUUUUUAAAAGAUAGUGUUUCUCUCCGCGAUCUCUGAUGUUUUGCUCUGUGUUUAAAAAAAAAAAAAAAAGUUUUCAGGAAUUUUAAAGCAUUGCUACGAAGGGAAAAGUAAUUUUAACAUUUUAGUUUUUCCUCCUGUCUAAAAGAUUGUGCCAAAAGGCAAUAUCGCAGUUGUGCAGGGGGAAUAUUUGCUGGCAGUAUUAAAGGAAUUGUGGCAAAUAGAAGAAAUCGCAGAAGAACGGAUAUAAGCAAGUGUACCACACUGCAAACAGGGGAAAAAGUGGAUUCCAUACAUCACAAACUGAUUUUCUGCGGAUUUCCCUUUUUUGGAAAUUCCGAUGGUAUUUCUAAAGGAAUGUUGUUUGCAAUGCUAUGACAGUGAAAUUCAAGAUCUAGAGGAAAUGGAUGCUUUCUGGGCAAAGUGUAAAUUUUCAAAUGGACCCAAGAAGAGGUUGAAAACCCAGAAGAUCAAUAGAACUAAAACAUGAAUUUGAAAUGUAACUUUUAAAAUACAUGCCAAAUCCAAAUAGCUUUGCAUCUUAAUUUUACGUAUACUUCCAAAAACAGGAAAUUCUCAAGGACUAUUCUUGAGGCUAGAAAAAGAGAAUGUUUUCACUCUUUGAAACGAAGAUAAACUUACUACCCAAACCUUGUUUUGUUUUUGUUGUUGUUGUUCUUUCCAAUUAAGUAGGCACCACGUCCAGUGUGGGGCUUAAACUCAUAAUCCUGAGAUCAAUAGUCACAUGCUCUACCAACUGAGCCAGCCAGGUGCCCCAUACGACCCAAACCUUGUAAAGAUAUUGCCAAAAUAAAUAAAUCCAUUGGCUAAUUUCACUAAGGAAUAUGAACAUAAAUAGGCUAAAUAAAAUAUUUGCAAACUGAA